UUUACAUUUAAGGACACCGAUAUGAGCAUGUAUAUAAUGUUCUAUGAAGAAAAGAUUUAGACUUGAAACGUCACAAGAAGAAGUUUAGAAAGAAAAGAUUGUUGGGGAGUAUCCAUUAUUCUGAGAAGGGGGUCUUCGUUCAGGUCGAGGGUCCUGACCAAGGUGUUGACUUCCUGAAUCUACUUGUGCCAAAGUAGGGAGCACACGAGCCGAGGGUCUCGUUGCUGAGAAUUUACUUAGCC
rnacentral:lncRNA from 1 species